UAUUAUUCUUAAUGAUUGGUUAUUAUCUGGGUAGUAAUAGUUAAGUUCUUGAAACCCAAAGAAUUUGGCGGUGUUUUAGUCUUUUCAGGGGAAUCUGUUCCAUAAUUGAUGAUACACGAUUUGUUAUACUUGAUUUUGUUAUCAGUUUGUAUAUCGCCGUCGUAGGAUUAUUUUUUUUGAGAAUUAUUAAUUUUCUUUAAAUUUCAUUAGAUUUUAUGUCAGGUCAAGGUGCAGCUUAUAAUUAAGUGGAAAUGGAUUACAAUAAUAUGAAUUAUAUGAAUAAUUAUUUAAGGUUAAUUUGAAGGUGGAUUUGAUUGUAAAUUUAUUUUGAUUUUUAUUUUGAUUUUGGCUCUAGAAUGUGUACAUAUCGCCCGUCGCUCUCGUUUUUUAAAGUGAG
rnacentral:rRNA from 1 species